rnacentral:rRNA from 1 species
GACGAACGCUGGCGGCGUGCUUAACACAUGCAAGUCGAACGGAAAGGCCCUGCUUUUGUGGGGUGCUCGAGUGGCGAACGGGUGAGUAACACGUGAGUAACCUGCCCUUGACUUUGGGAUAACUUCAGGAAACUGGGGCUAAUACCGGAUAGGAGCUCCUGCUGCAUUGUGGGGGUUGGAAAGUUUCGGCGGUUGGGGAUGGACUCGCGGCUUAUCAGCUUGUUGGUGGGGUAGUGGCUUACCAAGGCUUUGACGGGUAGCCGGCCUGGGAGGGUGACCGGCCACAUGGGGACUGAGAGACGGCCCAGACUCCUACGGGGGGCAGCAGUGGGGAAUAUUGCACAAUGGGCGGAAGCCUGAGGAAGCAACGCCGCGUUCGGGAUGACGGCCUUCGGGUUGUAAACCGCUUUCGCCUGUGACGAAGCGGGAGUGACGGUAAUGGGAAAAGAAGCACCGGCUAACUACGUG